rnacentral:rRNA from 1 species
CCUACGGGAGGCAGCAGUGAGGAAUAUUGGUCAAUGGACGAGAGUCUGAACCAGCCAAGUAGCGUGAAGGAUGACUGCCCUAUGGGUUGUAAACUUCUUUUAUAUGGGAAUAAAAUGUUCCACGUGUGGGAUUUUGUAUGUACCAUAUGAAUAAGGAUCGGCUAACUCCGUGCCAGCAGCCGCGGUAAUACGGAGGAUCUGAGCGUUAGCCGGAUUGAUGGGGUGUAAAGGGAGCGUAGGUGGAUUGUUAAGUCAGUUGUGAAAGUUUGCGGCUCAACCGUAAAAUGGCAGGUGAAACUGGCCGUCUUCAGUACCGUCGCGGUGUGCGGCCUUCGUGGUGUAUCGGUGACAUGCUUAGAUCUCACG